AUGCCAGGCAUCCACUCUAGGCCACGAGCAGAGCCAGGCCGGGAAUCUUCCCCACCUGUCUUGGGUGGAGCACGCAGAGAGCUGUGGGCCAGACCGGCGGGUGGGGGACGCUCAGAACUUUCCCGCGGCCGCGCCGAGACCAGGGAGCCGGUCUCUCGCUUGCAGCGAAGGCCCGGCGAGAAUUCGGCCGCCUUCCACUUUCUCACUCCACCUUCGGGCCGUUCCUCAGGGAGUCUGACCCGGGCGGCCUGCCGCCGGGGAGCCGAGUCACUGAGAAGAUUCGCGGCGCACAAACAGACCCCGAUAUACACACGAACACGCACACUCCACGCGUCUUCCGGCGGACAGGCCCGCGCUCUCCUGCCUCCGCGGUCCCAGGAUCCCAACCUCGACAGAGCCCCUACUGCUGGAGGGUGUCCAGUCUGGAGCCCCUCACCGCCCUGGAUGGAGAAGGCACUCUCCCCGGCUCUGGUGCCCACCGACUGCCACCUCCACUGUUUCCAGCCCUCGGCACGGCAGGACCUGAGGUCAGGAAGGCCCAGCUUCCUUCUGGGGGUGCUCCAGCUCACUCAGGACCUCUCCAUGCUCCCUCCCUCAGCUCAGGAGGUGAUUAAAAUUGUGGAGCACCCUUCAGACUCUGGGAUCACACCCUCGCCAGCCAGCCUGCCAGCCCAGGGAAGGAGGAGAUUGAGGCUGUGGGCU
rnacentral:lncRNA from 1 species